rnacentral:tRNA from 1 species
AAAGGGAGACCUAAUUCAGGUAGGAGACGAAAAAAAGUAGUCCCUACCAAGAAUCAAUCCCAAAAGGUCGGAGCGAGGCAAAAUUGGCUUUCAAACUAGGUUCUGGGUUCAAACAAGACCUGAAUCAGGAACAAGGGCUAUUAGCUCAGGUGGUUAGAGCGCACCCCUGAUAAGGGUGAGGUCCCUGGUUCGAGUCCAGGAUGGCCCACCUGCACAGGUGGCAAAAACAAAGAAAAGAAGCUCCGAAUCAGCACCUUAUCUUACUCAUAUAGUAAGAGAGAAUGCUGGCUCUGAGUUCAGAGUCCAGAGGAACCUUGAAAACUGCAUAGAGCUAGGUGAAAAAGCCAAAAAAGAAGACCGCAAG